rnacentral:SRP_RNA from 1 species
CCCGGUGAGCGCACUUGGUGCUGCUCCUUCCAACCCCCCCAGGGCAGAAAUGCAGCAAGGGUACGAAGUUGAGCGCCCGUUGUGUGUCUCACCUUAUUA